GACGAACGCUGGCGGCGUGCUUAACACAUGCAAGUCGAACGGAAAGGCCCUGCUUUUGUGGGGUGCUCGAGUGGCGAACGGGUGAGUAACACGUGAGUAACCUGCCCUUGACUUUGGGAUAACUUCAGGAAACUGGGGCUAAUACCGGAUAGGAGCUCCUGCUGCAUGGUGGGGGUUGGAAAGUUUCGGCGGUUGGGGAUGGACUCGCGGCUUAUCAGCUUGUUGGUGGGGUAGUGGCUUACCAAGGCUUUGACGGGUAGCCGGCCUGAGAGGGUGACCGGCCACAUGGGGACGGAGGUGCGGCCCGGACUCCUCCGGGAGGCAGCAGUGGGGAAUAUUGCACAAUGGGCGGAGGCCGGAUGCAGCAACGCCGCGUGCGGGAUGACGGCCUUCGGGUUGUAAACCGCUUGCGCCUGUGACGAAGCGUGAGUGACGGUAAUGGGUAAAGAAGCACCGGCUAACUCCGU
rnacentral:rRNA from 1 species